UUCUCACACCGGCCAUAUCACCUAAAGAUCUACGAAUUCUCACACCCUCAUUUAUCUUUUAUCUAUGGACACUCACACCCUAAAAAGCUAUUAACUAUCUCAAAAACCCUAGCCUUUACCCUCAGCCAUCUUCAAUUUCCCUAACCCCCCAAGAGCCCAUAACUUUAUCCUCAUCAUCAUCGAUAACCUCACAUCCCAAACCCUAAGCCUUUCAUUUCUUUGUUCUCACCAUAGCCGUUGAGAGCUACUAACACAGAAAUACAGAAGCUUGAAGUCCACCAUUAGCCAGCUAGUUAUCAAUGGCAUUAAACCUUUUCUAAGCUAGAAACAGAGAUGCUUAAUGAAACUCUCGGACCAAUGACUUUGAGAACCUCUCCUACUCUAACCUUGGAGCCUUCAGCUGUCUUUAGAGUUAUUCGUCGCCCUUCUACUGCUCAGGUGUUGAUGUUUGCUUGGAUUGCUAGCCACAAAUGGCAGUAGCUAUUAAAGUGAUUAAUACUAUCCUCAGAGGUAAGGUAUAUAUGUGUAUACAUUCAACCGAGUAUAAUGUGUUCGGCCUUGUCUUAAACAUUUUAUAAUUUCUUUUUCCUUUGAUUUCUUAUAUGUACAACAUUUAAAGAUUUGGAUCAUACUUCAAUCAUCUUCAAGUUGACCAAUGAA